GGAUUAACGCUGGCGGCGUGCAUAACACAUGCAAGUCGAACGAUGAAACUUAACUGAUUUCUUCGGAAUGAACUUAAGUGGAUUAGUGGCGGACGGGCGAGUAACGCGUGAGUAACCUGCCUUACACAAGGGGAUAGCCGUUGGAAACGACGAAUAAUACCCUAUGAAACUAUCACUUCGCAUGAAGCGAUAGUCAAAGUGUUAGCGGUGUAAGAUGGACUUGCGUCUGAUUAGCUAGUUGGUGAGAAAAAAGCCCACCAAGGCAACGAUCAGUAGCCGGCUUGAGAGAGUGUACGGCCACAUUGGGACUGAGACACGGCCCAGACUCCUACGGGAGGCAGCAGUGGGGAAUUUUGCACAAUGGGGGAAACCCUGAUGCAGCGACGCCGCGUGAUUUAGAAGGCCUUCGGGUUGUAAAAAUCUUUUGUAUAGGAAGAAAAUGACAGUACUAUACGAAUAAGGUCCGGCUAAUUACGUG
rnacentral:rRNA from 1 species